rnacentral:rRNA from 1 species
CCGCAACGAGCGCAACCCUUGUUUGCUGUUGCCAUCAGGUAAUGCUGGGCACUCUGCAAAGACUGCCGGUGAUAAACCGGAGGAAGGUGGGGAUGACGUCAAGUCAGCAUGGCCUUUAUGUCUGGGGCUACACACGUGCUACAAUGGCCGGUACAAACCGUCGCAAAGCCGCAAGGUGGAGCUAAUCGGAGAAAGCCGGUCUCAGUUCGGAUAGCAGUCUCUGUUGAGGCCUGCUUGAAGUUGGAAUCGCUAGUAAUCGCGGAUCAGCACGCCGCGGUGAAUACGUUCCCGGGUAGACUCUCGACGCCCGUCACAUCACGAAAGCCGGUUGUAUGGGGCCUUCAGCCAACCCGCAAGGGAGAGAGGCGCCUAAGGUAUGGUCG